rnacentral:rRNA from 1 species
GACGAACGCUGGCGGCGUGCCUAAUACCUGCAAGUCGAACGCAGUGGGGACGGGUGAGUAACACGUGGGUAACCUCCCAUCAGAGGGGAUAACACUUGGAAACAGGUGCUAAACCGAUAUUGAUGGAUGGACCCGCGGUGCAUUAGCUAGUGGGGGAGGUAACGGCUCCCCAAGGCCACGAUGCAUAGCUGGUCUGAGAGGUUGAUCGGCCCACCGGGAACUGAGACACGGCCCAGACGCCUACGGGAGGCAGCAGUAGGGCAGCUUCGGCAAUGGACGAAAGUCUGACCGAGCCACGCCGCGUGUGUGAAGAAGUUUUUCGGAGCGUAAAAUUAUUUUGUUAGAGAAGCGGUAUCUAACCAGAAAGCCACGGCUAACGACGUGCCAGCCGCCGCGGUAAUAC